GCUUGCCUCAGCAGGACAGACACUAAAAUUAAAAUGAUACAGAGAGGAUUAGCAUGGCCCCCAUGCAAGAAUGACAUACAUCCGUAAAGUGUUCCAUAUUUUA
rnacentral:snRNA from 1 species